rnacentral:rRNA from 1 species
AUUGAACGCUGGCGGCAGGCCUAACACAUGCAAGUCGAGCGGCAGCGGAAAGUAGCUUGCUACUUUGCCGGCGAGCGGCGGACGGGUGAGUAAUGUCUGGGAAACUGCCUGAUGGAGGGGGAUAACUACUGGAAACGGUAGCUAAUACCGCAUAACGUCGCAAGACCAAAGAGGGGGACCUGCGGGCCUCUUGCCAUCCGAUGUGCCCAGAUGGGAUUAGCCAGUAGGUGGGGUAAUGGCUCACCUAGGCGACGAUCCCUAGCUGGUCUGAGAGGAUGACCAGCCACACUGGAACUGAGACACGGUCCAGACUCCUACGGGAGGCAGCAGUGGGGAAUAUUGCACAAUGGGCGCAAGCCUGAUGCAGCCAUGCCGCGUGUAUGAAGAAGGCCUUCGGGUUGUAAAGUACUUUCAGCGGGGAGGAAGGUGUUGAGGUUAAUAACCUCAGCAAUUGACGUUACCCGCAGAAGAAGCACCGGCUAACUCCGUGCCAGCCGCCGCGGUAA